rnacentral:tRNA from 2 species
CGUAGCUCAAUUGGAUAGAGCGUUUGACUACGGAUCAAAAGGUUAGGGGUUCGACUCCUCUCG